CACGUAGGGGCAAGCGUUGUCCGGAUUUAUUGGGCGUAAAGAGCUCGUAGGUGGUUCGGUAAGUCGGGUGUUAAACCCCCAGGCUCAACCUGGGGACGCCACUCGAUACUGCUGUGACUAGAGUCCGGUAGGGGAGCGUGGAAUUCCUGGUGUAGCGGUGAAAUGCGCAGAUAUCAGGAGGAACACCAGCGGCGAAGGCGGCGCUCUGGGCCGGUAUUGACGCUGAGGUGCGAAAGCGUGGGGAGCAAACAGG
rnacentral:rRNA from 1 species